rnacentral:rRNA from 1 species
GACGAACGCUGGCGGCGUGCUUAACACAUGCAAGUCGAACGGAAAGGCCCUGCUUUUGUGGGGUGCUCGAGUGGCGAACGGGUGAGUAACACGUGAGUAACCUGCCCUUGACUUUGGGAUAACUUCAGGAAACUGGGGCUAAUACCGGAUAGGAGCUCCUGCUGCAGGGUGGGGGUUGGAAAGUUUCGGCGGUUGGGGAUGGACUCGCGGCUUAUCGGCUUGUUGGUGGGGUAGUGGCUUACCAAGGCUGUGACGGGUAGCCGGCCUGAGAGGGUGACCGGCGACAUUGGGACUGAGAUACGGCCCAGACUCCUACGGGAGGCAGCAGUGGGGAAUAUUGCACAGUGGGAGGAAGCCUGAUGCAGCAACGCCGCGUGCGGGAUGACGGCCUUCGGGUUGUAAACCGCUUUCGCCUGUGACGAAGCGUGAGUGACGGUAAUGGGUAAAGAAGCACCGGCUAACUACGUG